rnacentral:rRNA from 1 species
UACGGAGGUGGCAAGCGUUUGUCCGGAUUUACUGGGCGUAAAGAGCGUGUAGGCGGCCAAACAGGUCCGUUGUGAAAACUGGAGGCUCAACCUCCAGACGUCGACGGAAACCGUGUGGCUAGAGUCCGGAAGAGGAGAGUGGAAUUCCUGGUGUAGCGGUGAAAUGCGCAGAUAUCAGGAAGAACACCAAUGGCGAAGGCAGCUCUCUGGGACGGUACUGACGCUGAGACGCGAAAGCGUGGGGAGCGAACAGG